GGUCCCUUGGCCCAGUUGGUUAAGGCGCGGUGCUAAUAACGCCGAGAUCAGCAGUUCGAUCCUGCUAGGGACCA
rfam:Candida tanzawaensis NRRL Y-17324 unplaced genomic scaffold CANTAscaffold_1, whole genome shotgun sequence.